UCACCAAUGCACUUUUGGAAGAAUGGUGGAAGAUUCCUAUAAACACACUCCGCGACCUUGUGGACAGCCUUCCCAGAAGAGUUGAAGCUAUAAUAGCUGCAAAAGGAGGGCACCAAAGCCAACAAUGUGAUGACGACCAUAGAAGAGCUGUGCCUGAGCGAGCAGUAACUUUCCAUUCGCCGUACAUUUUCCACCCGUCAUCAGAGUAGAGCGUUAAUUUAACCGGAAGUGCGAUGUAAGAUGGCGACUCAUGGCUGCUGACGCUGGUCUCCUUGCCUUCAGCGGCUCCGCCUGGCCGGGCCCCGAGGGAUUUAUUCGCCAUGGGAUUUGGUAGACAAGACGCCGCUUCACCCUCCAAAAAAAUGUCUUAAAAUGACUGCUGAAGAAAGACCAGUGUGAAGAGAAGAAGAAGCAGUUCUGUGAAGGGGACAUCAGGUAGCAUGCUGUAAUUCAGCGUUGAAGACACGAGGCUGCUGGUGUUCAAAAGCAAUUUAUCCUGGUGUGAUCCCGCGGAGGUUCCUGUGGCAGACGUGACAUAUCGAGGUUGGCAGGCUGUGAACUGCAAAAAGCCUUCUUAGAAAAGCUGUGGCUGACCUUCAGUACAGAACAACAUCCUGCAGGAGGCCACUGAGCCAGUAGGUCCAGGUCAAGCAUGGUGCUAUCUGCAGCAGUUACAGCACUGCAAUGCCUAUCUGGGAAAAGUUACUUCCCCAUUACGUGCCUGGCAGGUGUCUUCAAAGGAUGGAGACCUAAAGCCCUCUUGCAGCCUUCUCAUUGGCCUUCCACUACCUGAAGCACCUCCCCCUAUUGGUCCACUUCAAGGGUCUUUAUUAAAGCAGAGAAAAGAGAUGGG